rnacentral:tRNA from 1 species
GCGGGAGUAGCUCAAUGGUAGAGUAGUGGCUUCCCAAGCCAUUGGUUGCGGGUUCGAUCCCCGUCUCCCGCUCCA